rnacentral:rRNA from 1 species
UACGAAGGGGGGCUAGCGUUGCUCGGAAUCACUGGGCGUAAAGCGCACGUAGGCGGAUUGCUAAGUCAGGGGUGAAAUCCUGGAGCUCAACGUCCAGAACUGCCUUUGAUACUGAAGAUCUUGAGUUCGGGAGAGGUGAGUGGAACUGCGAGUGUAGAGGUGAAAUUCGUAGAUAUUCGCAAGAACACCAGUGGCGAAGGCGGCUCACUGGCCCGAUACUGACGCUGAGGCACGAAAGCGUGGGGAGCAAACAGG